rnacentral:rRNA from 1 species
UACGAAGGGGGCUAGCGUUGCUCGGAAUUACUGGGCGUAAAGGGCGCGUAGGCGGCACUGUUAGUCAGGCGUGAAAUUCCUGGGCUCAACCUGGGGACUGCGCUUGAUACGGCAGAGCUUGAGGAUGGAAGAGGGUCGCGGAAUUCCCAGUGUAGAGGUGAAAUUCGUAGAUAUUGGGAAGAACACCGGUGGCGAAGGCGGCUUACUGGACCGGUUCUGACGCUGAGGCGCGAAAGCGUGGGGAGCAAACAGG